rnacentral:misc_RNA from 1 species
AAGUCGUAACAAGGUUUCCGUAGGUGAACCUGCGGAAGGAUCAUUAACACGUAUCCAACGUUAAAGAACCCUGUGAACUUUCAACACCGCCGGAAUGAGAUUAAUUUCCAACUCCGGUGAAGGCAAGUGACCUGGCACCUGGACCACAUCAAAGCUCUGACAGAGUGCCUCUGACGCAGUAACGAUCGCUGGAGGUCAGCGAGCUAACGCUCCCUCAACAACCACUUAACAUGACGACAGUUCCUCUUUAACUUGAGUUGAGCUAUAACAAAAAACUAUACAACUGUUAACAAUGGAUAUCUUGGUUCUC